rnacentral:rRNA from 1 species
GAUGAACGCUGGCGGCGUGCCUAAUACAUGCAAGUCGAGCGAUCGGACGCGAAGCUUGCUUCUCUGAUGUUAGCCGCGGACGGGUGAGUAACACGUGUAUCACCUACCUAUAAGUCUGGGAUCACUUCGGGAAACCGGAGCUAAUACCGUAUUAUAUUUUGAACCGCAUGGUUCAAAAGUGAAAGACGGUCUUGCUGUUACUUAUAGAUGGAUCCGCGCUGCAUUAGUUAGUUGGUAAGGUAACGGCUUACCAAGGCAACGAUGCAUAGCCGACCUGAGAGGGUGAGCGGCCGAACUGGAACUGAGACACGGACCAGACGCCUACGGGAGGAAGCAGUAGGGAAUCUUGCACAAUGGGCGAAAGCCUGACGGAGCAACGCCGCGUGAGUGAUGAAGGUCUUCGGGUCGUAAAACUCUGUUAUUAGGGAAGAAAAGAUGUGGAAGUAACUGUGCACAUCUUGACGGUACCGAAUCAGAAAGCCACGGCUAACUACGUG